AGUAUUUGUCGUUGUUGUGUGAGC
rnacentral:siRNA from 1 species